AACUUUUGGCAACGGAUCUCUCAGUGCACGGAAAGCGACAACCGGAUCAUCGAAGAAGUGCUGCCGGAGUUCAGCUUGCCGGCGUCGGGGGAAAUACCCGCAAUGAUUCGCGUUUUGCGGACCCGAGUACGCCCCGACAAGGUGAACGAUUACCUGGCGCUCAUAAAGAGCGAGGUUCUUCCCGCGGCCAAGAAGGCCGGAUUGAAGAGCUUCUCGGUGGCCCAGGUGCGAUAUGGCGCGCCCUCUUCGGAGUUUCUCACGGUCGCAGGUCUGAGCCAUUGGGCCGACUUCGACGGAGGCUUCGGGGUUCAAAAGGCGAUGGGCGAGGAGGCGUAUCAGCGCUUCGUGAGCAGGCUCAGACCCCUCCUCAUAGAGAGCGAAUACAGUGUUUAUCGCUUCCAGCCUGAUUUAAGCAUAUCAAUAAGCGGAGGCU
rnacentral:misc_RNA from 1 species